UUUUGUGCUUCCACAAUUUGAACGGCAAAGGCUGUCGCUGUCUUCGAGUGGAGUUAGGGCAACGUGGCUGCUUGGCCAUUGUUGCUUAGACAGGUAUGGUAAUUGCAUUUUCUUUCUUUGGGUCCCUAUCGCUGCACAGCACCAGCACACACCCCUUCAAACUUCAUUAUCUGCUGACCACGUAGAACAAAAGCAGAGAGAAGCACUGUCCGUCUCUGCAUGAGGUCGGCCAUCAAAAUAUGACACGGACACACAAGCUGUACAGCAGGAGUACUCAAAAGCAAAUCUUGAACAUUUGUCAAUGUCUCAAAGGGAUACAGUAUAACCCUUAGGGGAGAAGGGUGACCAGGACACUCGGCACGGCAGUCAUAUACUCAAAUGUUACUGGCAUCCUCUGUAUGGAUGGAAAAUGGUUAUAUUUCUAUAACCAAAACCACAAAGUCCAGAGGAAGAACAUUCAAAAAAACUUAAUGAAUAACAAGGACACGGGAACCUGAGGAAUGUCUGGAAAAAUGCUAUGCCCUCUAAAGUCACAGGAACUUGGACAUUUGAACCGCCAUUGUGUGUGACGAGACCAAAUUUACAAGACUUCAACUUGGCAAGCAUCAUAGGAUUAGGUCUGCAUGUGUUUUACUUUUCCUUCGGCAUUUUGGGAACUCUAAUUGAAAAAGCCGCCCACCGGUCAAUUUCACCUCCCAAUGAAACCAAAACAUUUUCUUCACUUCAUAAAAAAAGACAAAGAACAAGGAAAACAGCGUGCUUUGUCACUCUAGUCACUAAAGUUGAGUUUCGGUCAAUCAAAUCGACAUUUUUCCUGGCUUUUUGUCACUCCUUCCAUAGACUGGAGAAGUGGAAGUGACAUUUAUACCAGAGGUUUCCACCAUAUUUGCAUACUAUAUGUCACCUGACCAUUCAAACUGCAGUAGCAUCGCACAUACAUCAGAUUUAUAUCUACAUACGAAUGAGGCCCGAGUCCCAUUUGAAAAAAUAUGAAUUUUGCUUUUAGCAGAUUCAGGUCACAUAUGAGCAAAAUAAAUAGUCAUCACAAUAUUAGUACAUGUUGCUAUUGUGUUAUUGUCAGUUUCUUGGCUUUGUUCCCAAUUAUUGCCUACGUUUGAAUCGAAAAUGUCGAUAACGGUGUCAUGUCGACAUGUGCUGCAGCAUUGUAUACUUCAUCAUUAUCGUUGGCUAUUUUUUUCAAAAGCAGUGGUUAUGCCAAAAUCAAUACAAAACAGUCGCAACAGGAAAGGAACUGCCAUUUACCUUCAAAGCUUCGGUGUAGAAAAAAAGCCCUUUCUGGUCCUCUAACAGCGACAGUAAUUAUUACACAGCGUCAUGGUCUUAUAUGGUGUUAUUAUUGACAUGGCUGCCAGACCAGAACGCUUCACCUACCUCUUCUACUUCUCUCUCUCUCAAUAAGCCACAGGGAUGAAGGUAAGGAAUUGUUUUCUUUUUUUUCAUUACCCUUUUAUUUAAAGGGGACUUAUUAUGCUCUUUUUGGAUGCUUUGUAUUGAGAUUCUGCACCUCUUUCUACAGUGGUUCCAUGGACUUCCUGGUUCCGACCCAAACGGCAUGAUGAACUGAGUGGACUUAUGUGACCUUUGGCCUUGGGAAACGUGCAAUUAAAAGAUGAUGUGGCCUGAUGGGACACACAACUGUCCCCGCUGAGGAGGAGAAGGAUGCGGAUGCCGGCGGGAAUGCCUGGGCCCUCCACCAUGCCACAGCUGUCCGUCUGUCAAGCCCCUGGGAUCAUCAAUCAAGCAGCCGAGUGCAGGUUUUAAUGGCGUAUGUGCUGAUGGUAUGGACCCACCUACUGUGGGAACCCGGUUGUUCUCCCAACACUAUUUGUAUGUGGUUGUCAAGAUCGGCAGCAACCCUGAUCAAAGCAUUGCUAGUUCAUUCACAUCACACAUCUUUUUCGCAAGGGCUGCCCCUUGUUCCCUCACAGAGAAGGCUCCUGUAGAUAUGGAUGCCCAUACACAGAAGGCACAAUGUCAUGGAACACUGAAAGCCCUUAGCUGGGAUGAAGGAGGAUGCGUGGAAGUUUGCUCAGCCCAUCCACAUGGAGCUUUAUGGGCUUUAAAAAGCCAUGAGACCAUGUCCCUUUGCCGUGUUGUGUACGGCUUCUGUGUAUCAAGCUACAAAUGCAAUCUUUUCAGAAAGUGUUGGCGGUGAUUUCAACAUCUGCAGUAGAUCUCUGCGAAUAGGAAGUAAACAGGUAAUUGAGACACCCAUAAAAAUGUCUGGUUUUGCAACUGUAACUGUGUCUCAGACCUGUGGGGUUCCCCAUGGGUCAAUCCUUAGACCCCUAUUGUUCAAUCUGCACAUGCUUCCUUUAGGAUAGCCAAUGUGCAGCUGAAAUGUGUCCUGUAUAUUUACUUUGUCACUGCAUCAAACAAAUCAGUGUGUGGAUGCAAAACAACUCUCUCCAGCUAAACUCGGAUAAAACUGAAAUCAUUGUCUUUGGCCCGCAGAAACAAAGACAAAGUGUCACCUUGAGACUCUCUAAAAACAUCAUCGGCAAGUUAGAAGUCCAGGGGUAAUAAUGCACUCAGAUCUGAACUUUAACGGCCACAUUAAAUCAAUGACAUGAUCGGCUUUUUGCCACUUAAAAAACAUUGCCAAAAUCAAGGGAAUAGUUUAUAUUCCAGAUUUAGAGAGACUAAUCGGCAACGGGAUGCUCAAGUCCUGACGAAACCAGGAAAUAGGACCAUAAUCCAGUAGUACUCAGGUCUCUGCAAUGACUUCCUGUCGCUCACAGAACACACUUGAAACAGCUCUGCUGGCGUAUAAGUCUUUUCAUGGUCUUGUGCCGAAGUACACCACGGACAUGUAGGAGUCUGGAACAGUCUUCCGGAAAAUGCGUUACAAUCCUCAACUUUGGCAAUGUUCAAAUCUAAGCUCAAAACACUUGUAUUCAACUGUGCAUAUGACAACUGAAAAUGUUUCAUUUGCAGUCUUCAUUUUUUAAUGGAAUAAUUUAUAGAUAUUUAUGUACCGCUCAUAAAUUGAUGUAUUGAUUUUAUGAAGUGAUUUGAUCUUCUUUUCUGUAAAGCACUGCCUUCUGUGUGAAGUGUGCGCUACAAAUGAACUUGCCUUGCCUUUCACCACUAGUUCAUGGAAAUUAUGCAUGCAUUCACACCUUUUCUUCACACACUGGCAUUCCGCCCCACACAAUUGACACACACCUUACAUCUGUUGAGGACACAGUUACUCGUUAGCAUGUCAUUCUCACCCAGAAUGGUACAGCUGGGACAAAAAGUAAGAUGGGGUGUUUUAUUUAUAAAUUAGACGGGCAAAAGUUCCACGGUCGGUGCUGCCUUAAACACAUCACUAACAGUUCAUAGGUGACCAUAGCUGAAAAUACACUGUUAAUCUGUUAUGGAUGAAGUCGAGCCCAGUGGACUCUGACAUGAGCUGCUUUUGGAGAACGCUGUGAUGCCAUUUCAACCUAAUUGUGUACAAACCAAGCGCAUCUCCUAACCUUCAGUGUGUAGUCGGUGUUUGGCAUCUGCGUGACACUUAAAAGCCCAUUUCUCCCGAUGACGCCAUAUACGCUGAGCUGAUUUAGCGGGGUUCAUUAAGUGUACUGAUUCUCACCGCUGUGGUGUUGAGUAAGGCCAUCAGAUGGUUUAUUCAUGACAAAUAUCUCGACUGUGCUCAACCUCAGACCUUUGUGUUGAAUGGUAGUUUUUAAACAAACACUCAAAGGAAAGGUGCGUAGGGAACAGCCAAAGGCAGUUUGCUCUUACAAAGAAAGAGACGAUUUAACUGUGUCUAUCAGGCAUGUCUGAAAAAGUCUCCGAUUUUUUUAAGAAUCUCUCAAUGAUUCCUACCUUCCUCAGACACUUAUUGGAGUUCGUCUGAGAAAAGAAGAUGUACGCUGAAAGUACUUUUUCUUCCUUAUUUGGGAGUGAAAGCUCGGGAUCUAAUUUCGAGUUGGAACAUGAAAUUCAAUUAUGUUGGAGGACAUCCUUCAUUAUGGACAGAACAACUUUGAAGAGUAAAAACACUGUGAUAUCUGACCGACUACAACAUGAAAUGACUUUCACCAGCACAGUUUACCGAAGAUAGACCCCCAGCCUCUUUCUUUCAUUGAUGUGGCAAUUUGACCCAGGAAAAACACAAAGGCACACAGCUUGCUUAUCUCUUGCUGCAUAUGAAACGCCUGUGGUUACGGAUGCUGCAAGUUCAGCCACUAAAAAGCAGGGUUGUGUAUCGUUCCCAUAUUAUCCAAUGGUGCCCAACCCGGUGCUUAAAAAAAGAAAGAAGGAAAACAUAGAAACUUGUCAUUUUUACAAACAUUUCUUACGUGCAAGUUGAACAUAAUAAUGAUUGAAAUAUUUCAGUAAUAUAAAUGAGAUGAUGACUUGGUAAAUAAUUCACCAAUAUGAAAUAAAAACUGCUAAAAAUACAGAGAAUGUGCUUGUGUUGUCAUGUUCACCUUGCGUGCAUCCCUUCAGUGUGUUUCAUACACAAAAUUGUAAACCUUGCCAUCCUACCUCCACAUGAUCCCAGGGUCACUCUUGUUUUUUUUUCAUCUGCCGCGGUCCAAGCAGUCCAAACAGUCCAAACAAGCGGUAGUAAAUCUAGACUGUUACUACCUCAAUCAUAUUUAUUUAUUUAACAACCCAAUACAAUACACUCAUAUGUGACUUUACUCAUCUGUACACACCAGUCAUUAUUUGCACUAUGAUCCAUUUAUCAUUGCACUAAAAUUAAUAUAUCUGCAAUAUGUCUGUUCCUGCAUAUGCUCCUGUGCAAUACUA